rnacentral:rRNA from 1 species
UUGGCUUAGAAGCAGCCACCCUUUAAAGAAAGCGUAAUAGCUCACUGGUCGAGUCGGUCUGCGCGGAAGAUUUAACGGGGCUAAGCAGUAAACCGAAGCUUGGGGUGCAUACUUUGUAUGCGCGGUAGAGGAGCGUUCCGUAGGCCUGCGAAGGUGGAUUGUAAAGUCUGCUGGAGGUAUCGGAAGUGCGAAUGCUGACAUGAGUAACGAUAAUGCGGGUGAAAAGCCCGCACGCCGAAAGCCCAAGGUUUCCUUGCGCAACGUUAAUCGACGCAGGGUGAGUCGGCCCCUAAGGCGAGGCAGAAAUGCGUAGUCGAUGGAAAGCUGGUUAAUAUUCCAGCACCUCGCGUAAGUGCGAUGGAGGGACG